UACGGGGGGGGGCAAGCGUUGUUCGGAAUUACUGGGCGUAAAGGGCGCGUAGGCGGUUGGAUAAGUCAGCUGUGAAAACCACGGGCUUAACUCGUGGCCUGCAGUUGAGACUGUCUGGCUUGAGUGUGGGAGAGGAGAGUGGAAUUCCUGGUGUAGCGGUGAAAAUGCGCAGAUAUCAGGAAGAACACCAAUGGCGAAGGCAGCUCUCUGGGACGGUACUGACGCUGAGACGGCGAAAAGCGUGGGGAGCGAACGG
rnacentral:rRNA from 1 species